UAACUGGAGAGUUUGAUUCUGGCUCAGAAUGAACGCUGGCGGCGUGCCUAACACAUGCAAGUCGUACGAGAAAGGGGCUUCGGCCCUGAGUAGAGUGGCGCACGGGUGAGUAACGCGUGGGUAAUCUACCUUUGGAUUUGGGAUAACUUCGCGAAAGUGGAGCUAAUACCGGAUAGACUGGCUUUGUAAUAAUAAGUCGGUAAAGGAUGCCUCUGCAUAUGCAUUCGUCCAAAGAUGAGCCCGCGUCUCAUUAGCUAGUUGGUAGGGUAAUGGCCUACCAAGGCAACGAUGAGUAACUGGUCUGAGAGGAUGAUCAGUCACACUGGAACUGAAACACGGUCCAGACUCCUACGGGAGGCAGCAGUGGGGAAUAUUGCGCAAUGGGCGAAAGCCUGACGCAGCAACGCCGUGUGAGGGAUGAAGGCUUUCGGGUCGUAAACCUCUGUCAGAAGGGAAGAACGGUUGUUGGUCUAAUAGGCCUUCAAUUUGACGGUACCUUCAGAGGAAGCACCGGCUAACUCCGUGCCAGCAGCCGCGGUAAUACGGAGGGUGCAAGCGUUAUUCGGAAUUACUGGGCGUAAAGCGCACGUAGGCCGCUUUGUAAGUC
rnacentral:ncRNA from 1 species